rnacentral:misc_RNA from 1 species
UCUCGGCUUGUCACCGGCAGUCCCCUUAGAGUGCCCAACUGAAUGAUGGCAACUAAGGGCAAGGGUUGCGCUCGUUGCGGGACUUAACCCAACAUCUCACGACACGAGCUGACGACAGCCAUGCAGCACCUGUGUCCACUUUCCCUUUCGGGCACCUGAUGCAUCUCUGCUUCGUUAGUGGAAUGUCAAGGGUAGGUAAGGUUUUUCGCGUUGCAUCGAAUUAAUCCACAUCAUCCACCGCUUGUGCGGGUCCCCGUCAAUUCCUUUGAGUUUUAAUCUUGCGACCGUACUCCCCAGGCGGAAUGCUUAAUGCGUUAGCUGCGCCACCGAAGAGCAUGCUCCCCGACGGCUGGCAUUCAUCGUUUACGGCGUGGACUAC